rnacentral:rRNA from 1 species
CGAACUAAAGAUGGCGACCGGCGCACGGGUGAGUAACACGUAUCCAACCUGCCGAUAACUCGGGGAUAGCCUUUCGAAAGAAAGAUUAAUAUCCGAUAGUAUAUUAAAACCGCAUGGUUUUACUAUUAAAGAAUUUCGGUUAUCGAUGGGGAUGCGUUCCAUUAGUUUGUUGGCGGGGUAACGGCCCACCAAGACUACGAUGGAUAGGGGUUCUGAGAGGAAGGUCCCCCACAUUGGAACUGAGACACGGUCCAA